AAGUCGUAACAAGGUUUCCGUAGGUGAACCUGCGGAAGGAUCAUUAAUGAAAUUACAAUCCGGCGAGGGAAAGGCGGGAGGGUUGUAGCUGGCCCCUCCGGGCAUGUGCACGCUCUCUUCCGGACUUUCGCCGUAUGGGCGCGGGGCGACCCGCGUCUUCAUAUACCUCUUCGUGUAGAAAGUCUUUGAAUGUCGAAACCAUCAUCGAGUCGCGACUUCUAGGAGACGCGAUUCUUUGAGACAAAAGUUAUUACAACUUUCAGCAACGGAUCUCUUGGCUCUC
rnacentral:misc_RNA from 1 species